UAAAGGAAUGAUUGUAUUUACCACAUGUUGUACUAGCAACUAAGUCUACUGACUUACCUACUCAUGUUGGGGACCCUCUUUCACGCAAGAAAAAGGCCCAUAGGCCAAGGACUAAAAGAUUCCUAGCCUGUACAGAAAAGAAAGGGAAGAAAGCAUCUACUUCGGUGCAGCAACAAACUCAAGCUACUGCAUCAGGCAUUCCGGUUCAGUGUUAUGGCUUGAAUGUUGAUGAACCUGUGACUCCAAUUCCGAAGCCAAGGAAAAAAAGAGCUAGGAAGGCCAAGGCCAACACUGAUGUACGAUUAGUGCAAUCUGUUUUUGGUAAUGAUGGGCCGGUGUUAAGUCCACAAAAUCGGUGGGUUGGAGGUAUUGGAUAUGGUCCGGCCUACGGUGAACUUUGCUACUUCACUAGGUCUUAUAAUAAUUGUCCAAACUGGGUAGCACGGGAUGUCCUUCCAUUUGUUUCCGGUGCUGGACUUUAUACAAUGGCAACAACACCUUCCAAUUAGAGGGCCUAUUUUUGUAUAAAGCUACAUUUAACUUAUAUUCCUAUUAUAAGCUUCCCCUUCAA